rnacentral:rRNA from 1 species
AUACAGAGGGUGCAAGCGUUAAUCGGAUUUACUGGGCGUAAAGCGCGCGUAGGUGGCUAAUUAAGUCAAAUGUGAAAUCCCCGAGCUUAACUUGGGAAUUGCAUUCGAUACUGGUUAGCUAGAGUAUGGGAGAGGAUGGUAGAAUUCCAGGUGUAGCGGUGAAAUGCGUAGAGAUCUGGAGGAAUACCGAUGGCGAAGGCAGCCAUCUGGCCUAAUACUGACACUGGGGGGCGAGAGCAUGGGGAGCAAACAGGAUUAGAUACCCUGGUAGUCCAUGCCGUAAACGAUGUCUACUAGCCGUUGGGGCCCUUGAGGCUUUAGUGGCGCAGCUAACGCGAUAAGUAGACCGCCUGGGGAGUACGGUCGCAAGACUAAAACUCAAAUGAAUUGACGGGG